AAACUUGCCUGAUGGAGGGGGAUAACUACUGGAAACGGUAGCUUAAUGCCGCAUGACCUCGCAAGAGCAAAGUGGGGGACCUUCGGGCCUCACGCCAUCGGAUGUGCCCAGAUGGGAUUAGCUAGUAGGUGAGGUAAUGGCUCACCUAGGCGACGAUCCCUAGCUGGUCUGAGAGGAUGACCAGCCACACUGGAACUGAGACACGGUCCAGACUCCUACGGGAGGCAGCAGUGGGGAAUAUUGCACAAUGGGCGCAAGCCUGAUGCAGCCAUGCCGCGUGUGUGAAGAAGGCCUUAGGGUUGUAAAGCACUUUCAGCGAGGAGGAAGGGUUCAGUGUUAAAGCACUGAACAUUGACGUUACUCGCAGAAGAAGCACCGG
rnacentral:rRNA from 1 species